ACAGCCAAGGGUCAUCAAUCAGCCCAUCCUCUCUUCUACUCACCAGGGGCAGCAGCCCAACUUGCUCCUAUCUGCUUUUUAUGAGCAGUGCUGUCUGCUGAAUAGCACACAGAGAAGAAACUAAUAAUCAUACAAAUAUCAGGGAGAGCGGUCAAUCAUCACCUGAAAUGUUCAGUACACCUGAGGGAAAUUCGGGUGCUGCUGCCUGAAGAGUCUGCAAGUUUAGCAUGUAGAAGAGACAACAUUACUGCCUUAGAGGUGACCUGGCAUAUGGGCAACAUGCAACACGCAACACAAGUUGGUAAUUCAGACAUUUUUAAAAUGAGACUGAAAAAGGAAUUAUUUGUUUGCUCUCUUCAUUCUCUAGCUACAAGUGAAGGAGGCUGAAAAGGAGAAGCCUAUGCAAAUUGGAAUACACACAAUCUUCUGACAAUCACUGAGUCUGCAUCUUUCCUCUGUGAAAUCAGUAACAGCCGGUUCAUUUCACAUAUAAGGACUGCGGCGGAUGCCAAGCCCUUGCCUGCACCAGCUGAGCAGGCUGCACUGGGAAUAUCCUCCAAGAUGCUACUUGCACAAGCCCUGUCAGCUGCUUCUGCUCUACCUACAAGUAAAAGACACAAUCCUCCACUACACCAGAGAUCAGGAAGACACAGCUGUAUGUGGUUAGACAGGAUUUAAGGUCUACAAAUAUAUGUUAGAUAAGUUUGUAUUUUGGGGAUUUUUUUUUUCUCUCUGCUGCCACAAAAGGUUAUUGCUGACAGCUGUAUAUGAGAAAUUAUACUGUUUGUAAGGACACCAUGUGAAAUUGCAUUACAGCCAUGAUGGCAAUAAAAGCAACUGUUUUUUUUUGAUGGAACCUAUUAUGCAGGGAUUCAAGUCAUGUCAAAAAAUACUGGCAGUCUUAGAUUUUCCUAUUGCUGGAACUGGUAGAAAUCUAGCCAAACUAAAGAAACCAACGUGACAAGUGAUCCUGAAGGUCUGUUCUGAGAGGAAGAGUUGCAUGUUCCUCGUAAUGCCUAUUCAUGCACCUCAAACCUUUAGUUCAGUUUCUAUGGUAGGUGAAAAAAUGGGAUAUGUGAUUAGUGCUGCCUUCCUUAAUUUUUAUUGUCAGAUCCUCAUGUGACAGAAUAGAUAACACUCCCUAUGUCUCAGUUGGGAAUGUCUUAUUCUUGGGAGAACUUCCCUUAGAAAGAGAAGUGUGUAUUGUGGCUUGGAUAGAUUCUACCUGGGUGAGCAGUUUUGUUUCCUGCUCACAAACCGUUCUCUGUGCUCUUGAGUAAGUCACUUAUCACCAGGUGGUUCACUUUAUCAAGCUCUCAGUUUGGACAAACAGGGCACCUACUUGACUUCACCUCAAGGCACUACUGUAGUAAAUAUUAAUAGCAAUUAAUAGUACUUGAACACGCAAGGCUAACUGUGGCCUAUCUCUGGCUGUUAGGAACACAAGCGUUGCAAAUUUGCCCACAGAAACUAUAGUAGUGUAAAACUGUCCUAAUCACCACACACAUUUUAUCGAAGACACAGUUAUGAAGCAGCAACCCCAUCACUAUUCCAGACUUGUAACUGUUGUCCUAGCUUUGCAAGCUGAUUUAUCUUCAUGCACUUUGUUCUGUAUGUUUAAAAAAUGGCAAACACUGGUAUAAAAGCUAAUGGGAAUGUCUCUGUCAACAUACUGGUUUAUAUCUAACAAAAACCUCUGAAUUCAGGACAAAUAUAAAGUAAAAAUUUUUAAGGGGGAUAUUAAUAAUUUGUACAUGUAAGUAAAGGCUAAAGACAUUUGCCUUUUAUUGGUGUCAGUAAUCAGUAUUCACUAUAUGCAGAGGGCAAAACCCUUAUAAGCCUUUAUCUGAUUAUUAGUGCAUCGAGAUAGGAUAUGGGCAUCUUAUUCAAAGGAGUAUAUAAAAUUGUUGAUACUGUCUGCCCUUUUCUCCCUAUAAACAUUUGUCAAUUCACUCCCCGUCUGGUGCUCUGUGUAUACACAUGCCCAGGCUAAUGUUAGCUGAGGUUGCAAUAUAGCUAUGUUAAAUAAUUUUAUCUGAUUUGUUGGAUGAUGGUAUUUCUAAUGGAAAACAACAUGGUAAUUUCAGAAUGUUACUGAUUAGAUGAAAAUGAUAUUGCAUCAAAGUUACUUCCUUAAUUUAUUCUGAAAAAAACAAGAAGGAUUUCUCUAUUAAGAUGCUUAAUUAAAAUCUAUCUCUCUCCACACAAAAUCUUUACUUUGGGUCCUGCAUGUGAUGUCUGAAAAGAACAAAGGCUGAUUAGCAUCUUUUACACUCUGCUUUUCUUUUUGUCACUUAGACAUUCAUUGCAGCAAUUCCAGCCAGGUUUGGAAGGACUGAGAGAAAGGGUGAACCUGGCACCUUUCACAAGAAGGAAGGACCUCUUCAACUAGCACAGCCUGGUCUUUCCCCUAUUCUCUAAGUUCAGAACUCUUAGGGUUUUAAUUCUCUUAGUACUGAAUCUAUAAAAAUGUUAUUUCUAUUAGCUCUUUUAUUGUUACCCACAUAGUCAUAUGCUGAAAUCACACCCACGCUUAACAUACAAAACCGGAGAGCAUCUACUGAGGAAUGCAAAGGAUAUUUAGCAAAAACUUUGUCAUCUUGUGCUGGUACAAACAACUUUUUGGUUGUUUUAUUUUUUGACAGUAAAACCAUUAGAAAUGACGCUAUGACUAGAAAUCUAGAGAGCAUUUCAUGUUCAAGGAUUCUGAAUUUUAGUACUCCUCCUAUUGCCUCUUUUAUGUAAACUAUUAACUGUAAUUCAAGCCCAAAAUAUUAAAAGCAGUAUAAAGAUUUAAGGAUUCUUUCAUACCAAUUAGAAAUAAUUUCUAGCUGUACUUCAAUGAAUAGGCUUUUUACCUUUUGUUACAGUGGGAAAUCACUUUUCCCCUGUAGCACAGGACAUCUGCAUAGAUUUGUUUCCCAUUAUCUUUAAUGGCAUCAGCAAAUACAGAGUUCAUACAUUUCUGUUAAAUAUAUCUGCAGUUGUUGGAAUACCAGCUUCUAAGAGAAUUACAAGUUUAACAAUUCAGUUAACCCAAACUUACAAUUUGAUUAACAGACCAGUAGAAUAUUAAAAAAUGAUGUCACCUUAUCAUUCACACUGCACUUGAAAGCAUAAAGGAAAAUCCUCUGACUUGGUUCACAAGCAACCUAGAAAUAUCAUGACUGCAAUCUCUAAUGUGCUGCAAAACACUAACAUCUGAAAGGUCAAUCUGUGCUUUCAAGAAAGUUUGUUUGUAGUGUUUUUAAGCUCUAUUUUCACUCCCUUCCUGAAUGUGUAACUGAUUGUGCAUACACAGAAAAUACAACUCUGCACUGAUAAAAAAGGCUUAAUUAUUUAUUUUCAAACUUUUAAUUGCCUGUGGAAGACUAAUGAAGAGCAAUAUCAAAUACUGACCAUGACAUUAUUUCAUUGCAGGUCACUGUCAAACAUGAAGGUUAACCUAAAAUGGAGAAUUACAUGAUAUUUUCCCCCUGCUGUUAUUUCUCUACACUUUCUCCCUGAACUGUGUAGUCAAGUCAGACUGUGUGGGCUGUGACCUCUUAGUUCUCUGCAGGCCACAAGAUCAUGACAUUAUGAAAAUUGUUUCUCUUUUUUCCUCCACUGUGAAUCAUAUUCUUGGAUUAGCUAAAAAGACAUUUUAAAAAGAGUUAUCACCAGUUUUGGAAAAAACAAUUCAAUUAUCAGAUCAGGACAGAACAGGUAAUUUGUCUAUCACUAGCUUGCCUGUAUAUAUUGGAGUUCUGCAAUGACCAAAAUGAUGUAUUCUGGAUUAGUGCGUCUCCUCCUCCUCAUCCUCAUCCUCUCUCUUCUUUCUAAAUACCAGUGGCAAUCUCAAAAAAUAAAUAAAUCUCAAGAGCUAC